GACGUAGGGCGCGAGCGUUGUCCGGAUUUAUUGGGCGUAAAGAGCUCGUAGGCGGCUCGUUGCGUCGGCUGUGAGAACCCGCAGCUCAACUGUGGGCUUGCAGCUGAUACGGGCGGGCUGGAGUUCGGUAGGGGAGACUGGAAUUCCUGGUGUAGCGGUGAAAUGCGCAGAUAUCAGGAGGAACACCGGUGGCGAAGGCGGGUCUCUGGGCCGAUGCUGACGCUGAGGAGCGAAAGCGUGGGGAGCGAACAGG
rnacentral:rRNA from 1 species